rnacentral:lncRNA from 1 species
GGUUUCUAACUAAAACAUAAUUAUAACCGAGGCAGAAGAGAACAAAGCGCUAGAAGGGACAUUGCCUGAGCUACUCGGUGGAAUAUAUACUGAAGACAUCUCAGCAGCCCAAUAUUAACAGUUCUUGUUUCUACUUGGUAACAACAAAAUGUGAGCUAAUUUCAGUUUGGAAGGAGAAAAUGAAGGGAAGAGUCCCAAUCUUAAAUUAUUAGAGCAAAUAGGGGAAGGGUGGUUUGUACUUUGCAGAAAAUAAAACCACAGGGAAGUAUGAUUUACUCAUGCUCUUACAGGAAAUAUGUAGAAGUAAAGAGGUUAUCUGUCCCUCCUGACUCACAGCCCUGGAUUUGGGUGCAAGACCAUCCUUCCGCUGUUAUGGCACACUGGUGUUUCUCAGUGAACUAACUAUGAUCCCUGCAAAAAAUACUUAUUUGUCCUUUGUUCAUAUAAAAUUUGCAACAGUUCCAUGCCAAAAUUUGACAUAUAUCAAAACAGAAGCUUGACAGCUUUAAUUUAUAUUGAACAUAGCUCCCUUGAGUAUAUUCCUUGAAUAUUCCUCCCAUCACUGAAUUAUUUGAGCCGUCAUGAAGAAGAGAGUCUGGGAGGUAAUACUGCUACUUUUAUCUACAUUGGCUCUGGCCAGGAAUGACAGAUAAUGACAUUUCAGCAGGGAUUUCUUUUCUCUUCUUUGAGCAUCAGACUGCCUGAGGAAUGGCUGAGAUCCUCUGAUCCUUUACCAGAUAGCACAAUUUUCGGGAGCUCUCGUAUGAUGAUGACCAGAGUCCUGAUAACUCUUGGUCCAUACCCAGAGAACUCUCAAGAGCGAUGGCAGAACUGCAGCAAAGGGACGUACAGGCCCCAAAGUUGUCCUUGUGCAUCACCUACUUACUCCAGCCCUAUACCAGAUACUUCAUGAUCUGUGGACUACUUCCCCAUGGCGAAUCUGGGAGUAUAUCUUUUUCUUCUUCUUGAUGGAGUGAUCUGCAGGGAAGCUGAAACUUGCAUUUGCUUCAUCUCCUAGUCUGGCUGUGUGUUUCACUCAGUGGUGCGUGUAUAGCUGUUUAUACUGCUAUAGCAUACUAUGUAAUCCACAGAAUAUUUUUGCUGAUACCCAGCUAACUCUUCCUUAUUCUCAUCAUUUUCACUUCAAUUAAACAUCAGAGCAAAAGGUAUGUGGCAGGAGCAUGUUUAUAAACUUGUAUCGUAUCAAUGCACUUUUCAUACGCUUCUAUACGCACACACUUUAAUAUACCAUAGUAAACCAC